UUUUGCACCAGUGUCCCUCUCCACACCCAAGCACAGACUCGGGGAGGCCUCUCUGCCCCCCAGGAGAGCCCCUGCUCCUGGGGCUGCUGCCGGCUGCCGUGAGGAAGCAGCCCCAGGUGCUGCCGAGGGGAGCCCUGAGGGGAGCGGCCCUCGGGAACGUGCUGAGGGUGGCUGCGGAGGGAGAGAUGAGGUUGGGAUCGGAGAGAUGAACUGAAGGCAGCAGCCACGAGCAGGCCCACAGGCACAGCGUGGAGGCCCAGAGGUGGCCAGCAAGAGGUGGCCACCACAAGGGAAAAGCAGCUUUCCAGGAGCAGCCAUGAGAACACAGAGACUUCCCUGGGUGGGCCGGGACUCAGGGGAUGAGCACCAGAAGCUGGAAGGGGAUGCAGUGGGACAGAGGACCCCAGCUGACUGAAGGGAUAUCCCAUACCACGAGAUGUACUCUGCCAUAAAACUGGAGGAAGGGAGGAGGAAGGAAGGAUGCUUGGAGCUGUGGCAGUGUCUUCCCAGAUAAACACACAGAGAAGGCCCUGGGGCAUUCCACUGUAAUCCAUAGCUGCAGUCAGAGCUGGCCAGCCCCAGACACCAGUGAACACCUGUUGAUACGUGCAGCCCCUCCAACCUGGCUGCCACCUAAGUUCCCUUUCUGCUCAAGUGCCACCUGACCCUUCCUGGCAGUGCAGUGACAAGUUCAGAAUAAAUACACUCAAAAGCAGAGGAGGUCAUCUCCAAUAACUGCACAAACUCUCAGUCUCUGGAUAAAGCAAGGAUUGGAUGCCUGGAUCCCCCCCCCACCCAGGACAGUCUGAUCAUCCCAUGGCCUGUUGCACCCAGGAGAAAGGCACAUACCUGCCUUCAACCUUCUUCCCACACAGCACUGCCAAGAACAGGCUCAUGAAAGGCAGAGGAGCCAAACAAACUCUUUGCAAUUGUGAAAUCCUAGAGAAACUGUAGUGAAAAUGACAACAGCUCAAGAAGCCAGCCAAUUUCCCCAACAAGCAAGACAGGGAAGACCCACUCAGAGUAACAGUUUUUGAAUACAGACGCUCAAGAAGAAUUUCAUUUAAAGGCAGGGGAAUCUGGAUUCUUAUUUGGUCACCUGUAAAAGAAUGAGAUGAUUUAUUUUUUUUUUCCCCAGAAAGCUUUUUAGACUAUAUGCACACAAAGUAUGCAGAGCUCUUAGAAAAAUGGCCCAAGCAUUAGUGCCUGCAAAGAUGCUGAGCUUUUUUGAAAACCUGACUCAUGAGCUAUUUUAGGGACAAAUGCAGGUGUUGUAAUAAGACCAAAGUUAGCAGCAAAACACCCAAGUUCCAUGUACCAUCAGUGGAGCUAUGGCUCUCUAGCUUGUAGUUCAACUAGAUCACUGAAAAACAUCUGCUCUUGCUAUAAAAAGUCCAGAUGCUGAAUAAUUUACAUAUAUUUGGUCAGCUACCUCCAGCAUUUGGCUGCCUCAGUGUUAAAAAUUAUAGAAUAAAAUUGUACUUUAAAGAAACUUCCAGUGGAUAACUCAUAAGUGCAUUAUAAGUAGU